GCAGCAGUAGCUCAGUCUCAGAGCGCCGGUCUUGUAAACCGGAUGCCGGGGGCGAAACUCCCCCCUGCCGCU
rnacentral:tRNA from 1 species